rnacentral:tRNA from 1 species
GGUGGACGUAGCCAAGUGGAUUAAGGCAGU